rnacentral:rRNA from 1 species
CUCUGGGCCAAUACUGACACUGAGGAGCGAAAGCGUGGGGAGCGAACAGGAUUAGAUACCCUGGUAGUCCACGCCGUAAACGGUGGGCGCUAGUUGUGCGAACCUUCCACGGUUUGUGCGACGCAGCUAACGCAUUAAGCGCCCCGCCUGGGGAGUACGAUCGCAAGAUUAAAACUCAAAGGAAUUGACGGGGCCCCGCACAAGCAGCGGAGCAUGCGGCUUAAAUCGACGCAACGCGAAGAACCUUACCAAGGCUUGACAUAUACAGGAAUACGGCAGAGAUGUCGUAGCCGCAAGGUCUGUAUACAGGUGGUGCAUGGUUGUCGUCAGCUCGUGUCGUGAGAUGUUGGGUUAAGUCCCGCAACGAGCGCAACCCUCGUUCUGUGUUGCCAGCAUUUAGUUGGGGACUCACAGGAGACUGCCGGGGUUAACUCGGAGGAAGGUAGGGAUGACGUCAAAUCAUCAUGCCCCUUAUGUCUUGGGCUGCACGCAUGCUACAAUGGCUGGUACAAACGGCUGCAAUACCGCAAGGUGGAGCGAAUCCGAGAAAGCCAGUCUCAGUUCGGAUUGGGGUCUGCAACUCGACCCCAUGAAGUCGGAGUUGCUAGUAAUCGUAGAUCAGCAACGCUACGGUGAAUACGUUCCCGGGGCUUGUACACACCGCCCGUCACAUCACGAAAGUCGGUAACAC